UGACCAUCGUGAAAGCUUA
rnacentral:snRNA from 1 species